UGGCGGCAAUAGCGCGGUGGUCCCACCUGACCCCAUGCCGAACUCAGUAGUGAAACGCCGUAGCGCCGAUGGUAGUGUGGGGUCUCCCCAUGUGAGAGUAGGGAACUGCCAGAC
rnacentral:rRNA from 1 species